CGGUCGGUCUGUCGGUCUGUCCGUCCGUCCACCAGGUGGUUGUCAGACGAUAACUCAAGAACGCUUGGGCCUAGGAUCAUGAAACUUCAUAGGUACAUUGAUCAUGACUCGCAGAUGACCCCUAUUGAUUUUGAGGUCACUAGGUCAAAGGUCAAGGUCACGGUGACCCGAAAUAGUAAAAUGGUUUCCGGAUGAUAACUCAAGAAUGCAUACGCCUAGGAUCAUGAAACUUCAUGGGUAGAUUGAUCAUAACUCGCAGAUGACCCCUAUUGAUUUUGAGGUCACUAGGUCAAAGGUCAAGGUCACGGUGAC